rnacentral:rRNA from 1 species
AACGCUAGCUACAGGCUUAACACAUGCAAGUCGAGGGGCAGCAUGGUCUUAGCUUGCUAAGGCCGAUGGCGACCGGCGCACGGGUGAGUAACACGUAUCCAACCUGCCGUCUACUCUUGGACAGUCUUCUGAAAGGAAGAUUAAUACAAGAUGGCAUCAUGAGUCCGCAUGUUCACAUGAUUAAAGGUAUUCCGGUAGACGAUGGGGAUGCGUUCCAUUAGAUAGUAGGCGGGGUAACGGCCCACCUAGUCUUCGAUGGAUAGGGGUUCUGAGAGGAAGGUCCCCCACAUUGGAACUGAGACACGGUCCAAACUCCUACGGGAGGCAGCAGUGAGGAAUAUUGGUCAAUGGGCGAGAGCCUGAACCAGCCAAGUAGCGUGAAGGAUGACUGCCCUAUGGGUUGUAAACUUCUUUUAUAAAGGAAUAAAGUCGGGUAUGGAUACCCGUUUGCAUGUACUUUAUGAAUAAGGAUCGGCUAACUCCGUGCCAGCAGCCGCGGUAAUACGGAGGAUCCGAGCGUUAUCCGGAUUUAUUGGGUUUAAAGGGAGCGUAGAUGGAUGUUUAAGUCAGUUGUGAAAGUUUGCGGCUCAACCGUAAAAUUGCAGUUGAUACUGGAUAUCUUGAGUGCAGUUGAGGCAGGCGGAAUUCGUGGUGUAGCGGUGAAAUGCUUAGAUAUCACGAAGAACUCCGAUUG